CCUACGGGAGGCAGCAGUGGGGAAUAUUGGGCAAUGGGCGCAAGCCUGACCCAGCAACGCCGCGUGAAGGAAGAAGGCUUUCGGGUUGCAAACUUCUUUUGACAGGGAAGAGCGGAAGACGGUACCUUUCGAAUAAGCCACGGCUAACUACGGGCCAGCAGCCGCGGUAAUACGUAGGUGGCAAGCGUUGUCCGGAUUUACUGGGUGUAAAGGGCGUGUAGCCGGGCUGACAAGUCAGAUGUGAAAUCCGUGGGCUUAACCCCCGAACUGCAUUUGAAACUAUUGGUCUUGAGUAUCGGAGAGGCAGGCGGAAUUCCUAGUGUAGCGGUGAAAUGCGUAGAUAUUAGGAGGAACACCAGUGGCGAAGGCGGCCUUCUGGACGAAAACUGACGGUGAGGCGCGAAAGCGUGGGGAGCAAACAGGAUUAGAUACCCGAGUAGUC
rnacentral:rRNA from 1 species